ensembl:lncRNA
GGUCUAAUCAGCGGCCACGCGCAAGCAGCAGCACAGAGCAGGUAGUGGGCAAGAGGAGGAAGAGAAGAGAAGAGAAGAGAAGAGAAGAGAAGAGUAACAGCCACACCUACUAGUAUUGAUGGAGCACUUGAAGAUGGGUCAUUUGGGCGACUAGUAAACGAUGAACACAGGACACCAAAUUGCAGAAUGAAGUUGAUUGAAGCAGAAGGAAGCCACAUCUCUGCCUUUUUGCACUGAAGGAAAUUGCGGCAGGAAGUGAAAUUACUUAUGACUAUGGUGGGAAAGAAUGGCCCUGGCGGAAAAAGCUAAAGAUCGCAAGCAUCCCUUCUGGUCAACAGUGUGUUGCAGAGCCUAUUGCCCAUGACGUGGAGCACCAUGUGAUCUCUACAGACUCAUUCACAGACAGAGAAUUAAGAGCAGAGUGUCAGUCAUCUAGACCUACAGCAGACAACUCUGAGCAUGAGGUGCAUUCUGUUGGAGGUCAGCGUGGCACUUCUUCUCUGAAAGAGUUAAUUGGUGAAGUUGGUGUCCAGUAUCAGGAGUUGUCACCCCAAGCAUUCUCAGAAGAACUUACCAGUGAAAGCAAAUCGAAAGAGGUGCCACAAUCAUCCAGAGCUGUGCCUAAUGACUCUGCUUGUGAGCUAAAGAUCGCAAGCAUCCCUUCUGGUCAACAGUGUGUUGCAGAGCCUAUUGCCCAUGACGUGGAGCACCAUGUGAUCUCUACAGACUCAUUCACAGACAGAGAAUUAAGAGCAGAGUGUCAGUCAUCUAGACCUACAGCAGACAACUCUGAGCAUGAGGUGCAUUCUGUUGGAGGUCAGCGUGGCACUUCUUCUCUGAAAGAGUUAAUUGGUGAAGUUGGUGUCCAGUAUCAGGAGUUGUCACCCCAAGCGUUCUCAGAAGAACUUACCAGUGAGAGCAAAUCGAAAGAGGUGCCACAAUCAUCCAGAGCUGUGCCUAAUGACUCUGCUUGUGAGUGUACAAUUCAUAGGCUGGUAUUUGAAUCGGUGAAACUUGACAAAUGCGGGAUAUGCCAUUCACCUUUGACAGCUAUCAGAUGGCACGGUCUAAGAUGCAAGCAAUGCCGUUGUGUGUGGCAUAAGAUCUGCCUCCAGACAUCUUCAGAAGACUGGGAUAUGUCCGACGGUGAUGUCUCAUCUGAUGAAGAAUACAUCCCAAAUUCUGCAUCAGAUUCAGAAAGCUCAGGAACAGAGUUGUCUAUUGAGUUACCUGGACCAUCAAAAAACUCCCAUGCUGCUAGCAUGCCUGAUUUAUGCGUUACUUUUGCUGAAAAAGAACAGACCAUGGAUGUUAACAACAACUUUGAGCACAUUUUGAAUGAUCUUGAAACUACUGAUGAUCUUCAUCCCGACCAAGAACCAGACAGCUCAGAGUCAUGCCAGCAGAAAACAAAAGAUGCAUGUAGCGAAAAGAGUACUGUGGAUAUUAGCCAAAAUGAAUCCCCAACCAAGUCAACAAAAUUAAUCAAAAGCACAGUCAAUUUUUGUUUUGUGUGUGGAAAACCUCAAACAAAAUUUGCACGUCAUCUGGAGACGCAUGUAAAUGAAAAUGCUGAAGUCGCCCAGGCGCUUCAGUUACCCAAAUCAUCAAAGGACAGAAAAGUUCAUCUUGAAAGGUUACGAAACCUUGGUAACUUCAAGCACAACUCUGCUGUUAAAACCACAGGAUCAGGUUGUCUUAAAGUGAAAAGGAUCUCAAAAAAGAGCAGCAGCAGCGCUGAGACAUACGAGUACUGCUUAUACUGUAAGGGUAUGAUAUCCAGAAAAGAAGUUUCUCGGCAUAUGAAAAGAUGUGCUUUAAGACCAGAGAAUAAUGCUGAAGAGAAGCUGAAAGAUAGAGUCUUUGGUAUAGCAUCUACUCAAUCCACAAUGUCUCAGCCAAUUUCAAGUGAACUCUACUCAGUACUGGGCAAGAUGCACAAGGAUGAUGUGUCUAGUGCAAUAAGGAAUGAUC